UACAGGGGGGGCAAGCGUUGUUCGGAAUUACUGGGCGUAAAGGGCUCGUAGGCGGCCAACUAAGUCAUACGUGAAAUCCCUCGGCUUAACCGGGGAACUGCGUCUGAUACUGGAUGGCUUGAGAUUGGGAGAGGGAUGCGGAAUUCCAGGUGUAGCGGUGAAAUGCGUAGAUAUCUGGAGGAACACCGGUGGCGAAGGCGGCAUCCUGGACCAACACUGACGCUGAGGAGCGAAAGCCAGGGGAGCAAACGGG
rnacentral:rRNA from 1 species